rnacentral:rRNA from 2 species
AGUUUUUGAACGCAAGUUGCGCCCGAAGCCAUCUGGUUGAGGGCACGUCUGCCUGGGCGUCACGC